UACAGAGGUCUCAAGCGUUGUUCGGAUUCAUUGGGCGUAAAGGGUGCGUAGGCGGAUUCCUAAGUCGGGGGUGAAAUCCUGGAGCUCAACUCCAGAACUGCCUUCGAUACUGGGAAUCUUGAGUCCGGAAGAGGUGAGUGGAACUGCGAGUGUAGAGGUGAAAUUCGUAGAUAUUCGCAAGAACACCAGUGGCGAAGGCGGCUCACUGGUCCGGUACUGACGCUGAGGUGCGAAAGCGUGGGGAGCAAACAGG
rnacentral:rRNA from 1 species